GCUGGGCAUGGUGGCAUGUGUCUGUAGUCCUGCUACUCAAGAGGCUGAGGCAGGUGGAUCAUGUGAGCCUAGGAGUUUAGAGCCAACCUAGGUAACACAAUAAUACUUCAUCUCUU
rnacentral:sRNA from 1 species